GCGCCCGCUACCGUGGGAGAGACCUAGCUCGAUUCCCCUCCUUUCCCUCUCUCGAUCUCUUCUGCAGCCCUCGUUCCCUUCCUCCCCUUCCCUCGCGCCGCCGCUCUCCUCCCUCGUCGCUCUCUCCGGCCUCAUCCGCCACCGCUCCUAUGAGCCUCCUCCUCCCCACGAGAUCCCUUCUGCUCGAGUCGCCGAGGAGCACCUUCCCCUCCCCGUCCCCAAAGGCAGCUCCCGCACUCAACCCUAACCCUAGACCGCGCGCCCGCCCACCCCCGCUGCCUCGAGGCUUGAGCCCGCCCGCGCUGAUGGAGCCCAAGCAGCCGGCGGCCAACCUCGCCGCCGCCGCCGCCGAGCCGGAGGAGGACGAGGCGGACGAGGAGAUGGAGGACGCGCUGCUGGACCGCGCGCAUGCCCUCAUCUCCCGCGCCGUCGAGCAGGAGGCCAACCCCAACCCGCCGCACGGCGACUCCUCGCGCUCCAGCCGCCGCGUCCCUCAACGUCAGGGCAACAUGACCAUCGCAGCCAAGGCUGGAGUCACGUUGGAAAUCCCAAACGGGGCUGUGCUCGAGAACAAGAGGCUCACAGUUAAACAAGAAGGCCAGGCUCCAGCCAGUGAUGUUGAGGCUGCCUAUACAACACAGACCCAUGCCACUUACAAUCACGGAGCAAUGGGAAAUGAUGAGUUCCUGCUUCUUUUUAUGCCGGUUCAGGAGUGUAGGAAGUGGUUCCUCGCCGGUUGGACGUCGUUCAACCGCAGCUCUGGCACCCACUGAGUACUGCCUCGGCUACAACCUCCCUCGGAGCAAUGGGAAAUGAUGAGCUCCUGCUUCUUUUUAUGCCGGUUCAGGAGUGUAGGAAGUGGUUCCUCGCCGGUUGGAUGUCGUUCAACCGCAGCUCUGGCACCCACUGAGUACUGCCUCGGCUACAACCUCCCUCGUUUGGAAUCCAUUGAUCACCGAUUGUGUGUACGUUCUGAUCCAAGAAGCAAAUUUUACUGUUCAAUCCUUUUGUUGAGGCUUGCAGAAAACCAGGUUAAUCUAUCUUUUGUUCACAUGCCUUGCUACCUAAUUUUACAUGAGCUUGCUUCACGGAUGUACAUAUUUUUCUUUAUCCUGUAAUGUUGACAGGCUCAUUUUUCUGGUAGUGAAGAAAUGAGAGGAAGUGGAAGGAUAUAAGGUAGCUUCUGCAGAAUCCAAGUUCUCAGGAGUAUCUCACAAAUGAGUCAUCAUAGGUGAGAGAUGUCUCAUCCAGCCGGACGAUAUUAUUGACCAUUUAAUAGCAGCUGACCAACAGUUUUGGUAAUUAGAGAAGAAGACAAUUCCACAGAAGCAAAGCCAGUGCAUUGGUAGGGAGCUAAAUUAGCAGGCAUGCUACCUAUACUAAAUACAUGUUGUGCUUCAUCUCCCUUCUGUCCUUCUAUGUAUUGAACUCAUUGGCAUAUGAUGUAACCUGUUAAUAUUCUUAAUGAAAUCACCCAUAAUGGGCAUUUUUCUUAAAUAAAAGAUUACAGUAUACCAUGACUAAGGCUUCAUAAAGGAUUGUGUCUCCCUUGGUGUUAUUUGCAAUAGCUGAGUAGCUCCGGAGAGUGUCAACGUAUGUGCCCAAACUCAGUAGAACAAGCACUAACGAUAGCAGAACUUGAAAAAUCGAGGAGAUGGCUCAUGGCUGCUCUCAGCAUAUAGUUCAAAGGUUCACUAUCCAAUGAUGCUAUUUAUGUUUAGGGUACUUAUUGUAUAACUGGUUAUAACAGAUAUGUUGUUUUAUGAUGACAUAUAUUUAGGAAAGAACAUAUUCAAAUAGAGAAAUUUUGCUGUGUUAGAUUUUUAUUAUUACCAAGUAUACGAGUUUGCUCUAUCUGGUUGUCUCAAAGUAUAACAGUUAUACGAGAAUAUGAUAAUCAAUUGCAUGUUUGUGAAGAACAGAGCCCUGUAAGUGCGGCAGUAUGGCCUCUUUCUAGAGACAUACUUGACUGCUUAUUAAGUUGUGGGUUGUUUUUUGACAGAUAUAUUUUCUCACUUUCUUACAACAACUUAGUCUCCAGUUAUUGUACAAGUCUGGUGCGCAAGUGUUGUUUCGUUCCAUCUUCAGUUUGAUUAUUGUUUUUUUUGGCGAGAAAAUUUCUGAUCUAUUCAUCAACUGUCAAGGCAGUACAAUUCCUAUUUUUAUUUUUU